rnacentral:rRNA from 1 species
UACGAAGGGGGCUAGCGUUGCUCGGAAUCACUGGGCGUAAAGGGUGCGUAGGCGGGUUUUUAAGUCAGGGGUGAAAUCCUGGAGCUCAACUCCAGAACUGCCUUUGAUACUGGCGAUCUUGAGUCCGGGAGAGGUGAGUGGAACUGCGAGUGUAGAGGUGAAAUUCGUAGAUAUUCGCAAGAACACCAGUGGCGAAGGCGGCUCACUGGCCCGAUACUGACGCUGAGGCACGAAAGCGUGGGGAGCAAACAGG